AUUGUGUCAGCAGCCGCGCGGUAAUACAGAGAGUGCAAGCGUUAAUCGGAAUUACUGGGCGUAAAGCGCACGUAGGUGGAACUGUAAGUCGGAUGUGAAAUCCCCGGGCUUAACCUGGGAAUUGCAUUCGAUACUGUAAUUCUAGAAUAUGGUAGAGGGAAGUGGAAUUUCUGGUGUAGCGGUGAAAUGCGUAGAUAUCAGAAGGAACAUCAGUGGCGAAAGCGGCUUCCUGGACCAAUAUUGACACUUAGGUGCGAAAGCGUGGGGAGCAAACAGGAUUAGAGACCCUGGUAGUCCACGCCGUCAACGAUGAGAACUAGAUGUUGGAGAGUUUACUCUUUAGUAUCGAAGCUAACGCGUUAAGUUCUCCGCCUGGGGAGUACGGCCGCAAGGUUAAAACUCAAAGAAAUUGACGGGGGCCCGCACAAGCGGUGGAGCAUGCGGUUUAAUUCGAUGCAACGCGAAGAACCUUACCUACUCUUGACAUCUUCGGAAUCCAUUGGAAACAGUGGAGUGCCUUCGGGAACCGAAGGACAGGUGCUGCAUGGCUGUCGUCAGCUCGUGUCGUGAGAUGUUGGGUUAAGUCCCGUAACGAGCGCAACCCUCGUCCUUAGUUGCCAGCACGUAAUGGUGGGAACUCUAAGGAGACCGCCGGUGAUAAACCGGAGGAAGGUGGGGGAUGAUGUCAAGUCAUCAUGGCCCUUACGAGUAGGGCUACACGCGUGCUACAAUGGGCAGUACAAAGGGUUGCUAAACCGCGAGGUGGAGCUAAUCCCAAAAAGCUGUUCGUAGUCCGGAUUGGAGUCUGCAACUCGACUCCAUGAAGUUGGAAUCGCUAGUAAUCGCGAAUCAGAACGUCGCGGUGAUACGUUCUCGGGCUUGCACACACGCCCGUCAAUCGUCGACUGCAGCAUGCAGCUGCACUGGCGUCGUUUACACGUCGUGACUGGGAAACCCUGCGUACCCACUAUCGCUGCAGCACAUCCCCUUCGCAGCUGCGUAUACGAAGCCGCCACCGGAUCGCCUUCCACAGUGCCAGCUGGAUGGCAUGGCUGAUGCGAAUUUCCUUAUCGCACUUGGCCGAUCACCGCAAUGUGGACCUGCACCUGCUCUAUGGCCAGUAGCUAGCGACUCGCCAAC
rnacentral:rRNA from 1 species